rnacentral:misc_RNA from 1 species
GCAAACUUGGUCAUUUAGAGGAAGUAAAAGUCGUAACAAGGUUUCCGUAGGUGAACCUGCGGAAGGAUCAUUACAGCGCCUGCGGGACACUCCUCCACAAGGGGGGGUGCCCUGCGCCUGGCCACCCGUGUCUACUUGACCUCUGUUGCUUCGGCGGGCCCGUCCACCCAGGACCGCCGGGGGAGCGUACCCACGCGCCCCUGGCCAGCGCCCGCCGGGGGACCCCUUGAACUCGUGUGAAGCAGUGCCGUCUGAGUCGAUCGUGAAAAUGAAAACAAAACUUUCAACAACGGAUCUCUUGGUUCCGGCAUCGAUGAAGAACGCAGC